AAAAACGUUCAUUCAUAUCAGACAUCAGUUGUGAAAUAUGGACCUUUUUUUAAGGACUUUGAGACUACAAUUCGUUAUAUUUCCCGUCGAGUUACCGAUGAUAUAUGCAACAGAAUCAUUUGAAAACUGUUUACCAGGAUACUAUUUUCCCGGAUGUUACUUACCAUGUCGCUAUCCUAACUACGGACAGGAUUGCCAAUCAGAAUGCUUGUCUUGUACAAAACAAAACUGCAAUCAUAUCACAGGAUGUCCAGAAAAAAGUGUAACGUAUAAAAGGGCUGUUGAAGACAAUAAACAUGUUCUGUAUAAUUCAACAUCUGGAACAUCUGUCCAUAACUCUUCAAAAGAAGGUAUGCCGCCGAGCUGUCCAUCUAUAUUCAAACCAUACAAAAUAAAAGCAAUGGUGAUCAGUCUGUGCAUUUUGGCAUUGACUUUCUUGGUCAUCAUUGGUGUCUAUCUAAAAUUGAAAAAAGUUAAUUAUGUUCAAUUACAAUACAUACAGAAUUAAGAAGAACAAGAUGCCAAUCCAAGAACCGAAAAUUCUUUGAGGGAUUACUUAUGCAAGCAGACUACAUUAUUACAUCUCCAGAUAUAUUCUCAUAAAACUGACUGAUUGUUGCUGAUUGUGGAUCGAUAGCGAUCAUGUCCAAUACAUAUUUCUUUUUCGAUAUCGUCAACAUCGCGAUGUAUACAAUAUUGAUACGAUAUCGAUUUUACAUUGUCAACAUUGCCGAUAUUUCUUUUCCGUUUACAUCGUCGACAUUGUCGACAUCGCAUUG